rnacentral:lncRNA from 1 species
UGAAAUACCAGAAAUGGGUAAAUUAACAAUAUAUUAGUCUGUUCUGAUAUACUUUAUGGAUAGUACUGAUUCAUGAGCUUCGGUAUCUUGACGUGUCUUAAGUGUGAAUAGGCUCAUGGAUUUUAUUUAUUUAUUUUAUUUUUUCUGUAAGCGCUGUGCUUAAUUUUCAGUUUUGUGAUUUCAGGGAAAGAAGAAUCCAGGAACAGACCGUAAUUCUGUGCUGUCAUUCUUGAGUCAAGUAAAGGAAGCAAAAGAAAUGAAGAUAGACAGGUCAUGCAGUUCAAAUGGUCCCUCUUUUUUUUUUAAAGUUUAUAUUGAUAUGCUAUGGGUUGUUCACAACUCUUACUAUAUAAUUAUGUGCAGACCUGAUAUAUCCUUUAACUUCUUAAUUAUGGUUAUCGAGAAAAUGCAAGUUAGAUUUGAUGAGAGAUAUACAAAAAAUUUCUUUGUUACCAUCAUGGGUAUAUAUUGUACACCUUCUUUAGACUUUGUUCGAACAUCAAACUUACUUUGAUAGGGUGUGUUACUCACAAAUGAUGUACACCUGGGGAGAGGCUCGCUAAUGACAUAGUAGUGUUUUUCUCACAUUCUUAUAUAAUUUUAUACCCUUUCUUUUAUGCAAUCAUAAGAAUUUAGUUGAUUGUGGUACACUUUUUAUGAUUUCAGACAAACAGAGUUAGUUUCAAUGCGCAGUUUUAAUUACAGAAAUGUUAACUGGAGUAUCCUAUGAUUUACUUUAGGGUUAGAUGGAAUCUCCAGUGGAACGUAAACAAUCCUCUCAGAUUCAAUCUCCCUUGUAUUAUAUGUUCUACUGCAUAGAAGCUCUAGAAUACUGUAAUACGUGCCUGUAUAUAUAUAUAUAAUAUAUAUAUAUAUGUAUAUAUUAUAAUAUAUUUAUAUAUUUGUUUGCUAUUUUUUGUCUCUUUUUCCUUCAUCUUCGGAGCUCAGUGUAUGGUGCAUGACACUGUGCGACCACUUUGAAGAUGAUGUCGACUUUUGUCUUGCUUGAUAUACUUCAUCUUGUUGAAUUGUUCAUGAUCAAUAAUUUGAGGCGAGGUAAAUUAUUACCAAGUACAAGUAGUGUUUCAUGUUCAAUGAAGGUAGUAGAUAUCCAAUAAUUCGCUUUUGUGACGCGCCAUUGAUUCUCAAUUUAUUUCAUGGGUUGACUGAGGUGAUGUUUCAGGUCCAUUGUGGAGGUUCGUUGGUAUUGGAAUGAGCGUGUUUAACCAAAAAUGAUACCUGUAUUCAAUAAAAACAGAAAAGAAUAACAAGAAAUGUUUGUAUAUGUGGGCCCCUUUUUAUGUCCUUGUUGAAGUUUAUGGUUGGAACGGAGGUGUUUUGAAAAUCUUGAGGGACCGGUCCUUGGUUAUAAAAGGCUUUUCUUAAUAUUGUCUCUGGAAUCUUUGUUUAAUCUCAAUUCUUUUGUUGAUAUUAUUUAGAAGCAAUGGUUGCUUGAUUAUUUGCUCAAAUCUAUCAUGUCUCUGACUAUAUUGUGCUUGAUUAUUUCCUUGGUGUUUUCUUCUUAACAAUGUGUACAUGACAUGAGUUGCAUCUGGCAUAUUCUGUUUUCUGUGCGAAGAGAGAAGAGUUUGUGAUGACCAACUUACAGAUUCUCCUUAAUAUUUUUGAACUNNNNNNNNNNNNNNNNNNNNNNNNNNNNNNNNNNNNNNNNNNNNNNNNNNNNNNNNNNNNNNNNNNNNNNNNNNNNNNNNNNNNNNNNNNNNNNNNNNNNNNNNNNNNNNNNCAAACGAAUAUUCCCCGACAAUAAUGAAUAUUUUAUAACCAUUUGCUUAUUUUGAAAUACUUACGUAUUUUACCUAUAACUAUCCACAUUAAUCAAAUCAACCCUUACUAUUUCAAAAUAAUAAUUAGAGGAAAUUAAAUUUUAUUUAUUAAUUAUUUGGUGUCUUACAUCACUCACGUCACUUUCUUCUCUCAUUCUUUCAAUUUUCUCUCUCUUCUACAUUAUUUAUAGGGAAUUGAUAUUUUUACCAAGGCUCGGCUACUCACAUGAAUGUGGGUCCUGUUUACCAUUCAUGUGAGUGAUGUCUUGUGAAAAUAUCAAUUUCUCUUGUGAAAAUAUUAAUUCUUAUAAAAAAAUGAUAUUUUCACAAUGUCUCACCUCCAUAGAAUAUGGUUCCGUUUACUAUUCAUACCAGAGAGUUGUGAAAAUAUUAAUUGUGAAAUUAUCAAAUCCCAAAAUAUUUUAUUAAAACGUGUUACUUUAACCUUUAACCACACAUAAUUGUCAGGCCCCACCAAACUUGCUGCUACGACAUAUCCAUCUUUAGAAAUUAGAAACAAAGUCCCAGAUGAAUCAACAAAAUCAUUAAUAACCAACGAGUAAAUAAAUACAUAUAUUUGGAUUAAGCACAUGUUCACCUCCGACGUCUCUGUUACUUCUUCUCUGAAUCUGACAUUUCCAGAUCUGAAUUCCCUCAAUUAUCUCUCUCUCUUCCGCUGUAAAAAAUUUCCAGGUUUUGUUUCUGCCUUCUCUUUUAAUUUUGUAGUUGUUUCACUUUUUCCUUUUACAAUCAGUCUGAACAAAUGCUUCUCGAUGGAUAUUUUUCAUCUUUUCUGCUUCUCUGUCGAUAUAUAUAUAUAUAUAUAUAUAUAUAUAUAUAUAUAUAUAUAUGCCCGAUAAAAUUAGAAUUUUACACCAUUUAAUAAUACCAUGCCAGGAAAUUUAGAAAAAAAAUUAGCUAAACAGUUUUACCAGGGUAAAUAAUAAAUAUUAAAUCAGUCAAUAUAAUCCAAAUUUCUUAUUUUCUCCUAAAUUCCCUAUGGUGUUAUUGGAGAGUAUUUUGCAUGUCAUCCGUAUAGAAUUUAAUUCCAUAUAUGUUUGGUUGCAUUUUUUUUAUACAACUGUGGACUAGAAUUAUGCUUCUUUUUUUUGGCUCGUUUACCACUUAGACCGUUUGAAUUACUUGUAUAGAUUGGUUCUUAAUAAUAAGUGAAAUUGAUCAUAAUAAAUAAGCCAUGUAGUUUGUUUGUGUUUUUUUUUAAUAAAAAAAUUGUAUAUUUGUCCAAUUAUAAUUGAUGACAGUUCUGUAUAAUCUCCUUAUUAUACUUGCUUUUAUUUUUGGGUUUGAAUGUAAAUCCAUUGUAGAUUCUGGUGGUUGAAAUGUACAUGUGAUGCAACAAAGAAUCUUCUAUUCUCUUUACCUAUCCUUUAUUAUGGAAUGGAUGGGAUUAAUUCAAUAAUCUCAUAAUCCGAUACUGAUUAUUGUUUAAAUGAUUUUCUUAUAAUACUUAAUUUGAAGUUUGUACAAGUCACUAUGAUUUAUGAAAGUUAUGUGUUUUUCCUUGGCUCAAAAAUUGAAGCUAACUUGUUUGCUGACAUGUUCAUAUGAGCUGGUCAAUUUUUGACAAUUGUUUGAAAGUUCCAUGGUUUUGGUGCAAAAAAAUAGUUUGUACGUUUUUAUGAUAGCUUAUAUGAACAGAAAAAUAAAUAAAUAAAAUAACGUGUUUUGAUGAAGUCUUAUUAAUUAUUAUUUUACCAAACUUUAUGUUCAACGUCUAUCAGUUGGAGCUAGAAACGGCAAGUAUGAAUUUUCCUUCUGACAACUUUUUGAAAGACUUCUACAUCCCUGAUUACAUACUUGUUCCUGGCUCAAAGGGUGAGCAUCUUCCUGAUGUACCUGCAUGUCCGGUACUAGUUUUCAUCAACUCCAAAAGUGGUGGUCAGUUGGGUGGAGAACUUCUUAUCACAUGUCAUUCUCUUCUAAAUGGAAACCAGGUAUUUGUCAUUCUAUGAAUGUGGAAUUUAGACGGAGUACUUUAUUAGCUUCCAUCUGAGAAUCAGCCUCUUUUUUAUUUUUAUUAUAUAUAUAUCCCGGUUGUCUUUUCUGCAAAUUAUUAUUAGGUUUUCGAUUUGGGUGAAGAGGCUCCGGACAAGGUGUUACGCAGACUGUAUCUCACUCUAGAAACACUCAAGCUUAAUGGAGACGAAUUGGCCCCAAAGAUUCAGGAGAGACUGAGAAUAAUUGUAAGUUUAGUUACAAGUAUCAUGCACCAGAUAGAUAUCCUUAUUAGUUCUGUAUUGUACUAUGGCAUAGACCUGCUUAUCCCAUUUAUCCCGACUUUUCUGACACUAAGGACUUCAUCAGGUUGCAGGUGGGGAUGGCACAGCUGGCUGGCUGCUCGGGGUUGUUUCUGAUCUAAAAUUAUCUCAUCCACCACCAAUUGCAACAGUGCCCCUGGGAACAGGAAACAACCUCCCAUUUGCUUUUGGUUGGGUAGGCAUAAGCUUGUAUGAAGCACACAAUAUGCAAUUAGAAAGCAACUUGCAUGCACAGUGCUGUUAGCUCUCCAUGCUUAUCAUACUUUAUUUAUCUUAUAUUCUUGUCAAAAGUAAUGUUAAACCUUUAUAAACCAUUCAUGAAUGUUUUCCAGUUCACAAUCUUGGUCAAAGACCUAUGACUAAUCUGUCACCUUAAAACUGUUUUUGUGUAAAUAUUACAACUCAUGUGUUGCAAUGAAAUACCAGAAAUGGGUAAAUUAACAAUAUAUUAGUCUGUUCUGAUAUACUUUAUGGAUAGUACUGAUUCAUGAGCUUCGGUAUCUUGACGUGUCUUAAGUGUGAAUAGGCUCAUGGAUUUUAUUUAUUUAUUUUAUUUUUUCUGUAAGCGCUGUGCUUAAUUUUCAGUUUUGUGAUUUCAGGGAAAGAAGAAUCCAGGAACAGACCGUAAUUCUGUGCUGUCAUUCUUGAGUCAAGUAAAGGAAGCAAAAGAAAUGAAGAUAGACAGGUCAUGCAGUUCAAAUGGUCCCUCUUUUUUUUUUCCUUUUUUUUUUAAAGUUUAUAUUGAUAUGCUGUGUUGUUCACAACUCUUACUAUAUAAUUAUGUGCAGACCUGAUAUAUCCUUUAUCUUCUUAAUUAUGAUUAUCGAGAAAAUGCAAGUUAGAUUUGAUGAGAGAUAUACAAAAAUUUUCUUUGUUACCAGGGCCGGCCCUGAGUUUUGAAGGGCCUAAAGCGGACAACAAAAAAAUGGGUCUUUUGCGAAAAGAGAUUAAAUUGAUCUCUUUGUUUUCAAAGUAAAAUUGAUCUCUUUGUUUUCAAAUACAGUCCACUAGCUAAUGAGGGUAAAGUCUCACUUGUUUCUAACUUGUUCAUGGACUGAGAAGAAUGCAUGCCACAAAUAUUUGGAUGGUUGGAUCAUUUUGAAGCUUGUAAAUUUUUGGGUUUUAGGAAAGCCUAACACUCACCCGGACCUUCUCCCACACUCAACACCUGGACCACAUAACUUGAGUAAAGUGGGGAGAGAAAAUAAAUAGACAAGAAAAGAAAAAGGACUACGUACAACCUUCACAGGGAAUAGGGAUUAAAUGGUCCUCCCCCUGGUCUUGUUUGUUUUACUGACCCCAACAAUGCUUCUAAUUUUUGAUUAAUUUUCUCAAUAAACAUGAAAUGCACACACUGUGAGCUUCAGAUUCAACACUACCAGUAGAGUCAUUUCAGAUCUUGUUAAUAAAAAAUUGCACAUUCGGGAAUACAGAAAAGGGAAGACAAAAUAAUAAAAAUGAAACAAUUUUCAGAAUAGCAGAUCAGACUGGUGAAUCAAACAACAAAAAUCUCAAAUACCCAAUAAACCAAAAGGCGAAUAGAGUAUUUUGAGAGACACCCAAAAGACAAAAACAUGAGAGGGGAAAAAAAGUUUUUUUAGAGAGAGAAACUUACAGAUUAGGAGGAGAUGACAGCCAUUACAACUCAAAAUCCAGCUUCAGAAGAAAAUGUAAGGAGACGAACUAAAGCCCAGGCAAUUGUGAAGGAGACGAACUGUGAAGGAGACUAUCUGACCAAUAUGCUAUUUAAGGGCACCUUGGGCUUUAGCCUAGUGCCGGUGCUGUUUGUUACCAUCAUGGGUAUAUAUUGUACAUCUUCUUUAGACUUUGUUGGAACAUCAAACUUACUUUGAUAGGAUGUGUUACUCACAAAUGAUGUACACCUGGGGAGAGGCUCGCUAAUGACAUUGUUGUGUUUUUCUCACAUUCUUAUAUAAUUUUUAUACCUUUUCUUUUAUGCAAUCAUAAGAAUUUAGUUGAUUGUGGUACACUUUUUAUGAUUUCAGACAAACAAAGUUAGUUUCAAUGCGCAGUUUUAAUUACAGAAAUGUUAACUGGAGUAUCCUAUGAUUUACUUUAGGGUUAGAUGGAAUCUCCAGUGGAACCCUCUCAGACUCAAU